rnacentral:rRNA from 1 species
AGAGUUUGAUCAUGGCUCAGGACGAACGCUGGCGGCGUGCCUAACACAUGCAAGUCGAGCGGGAGACAGUGAGUAGCUUGCUAUGAGCUGUUUUAGCGGCGGACGGGUGAGUAACGCGUGAGCAACCUUUCCCAGACAGGGGAAUAACACACCGAAAGGUGUACUAAUACCGCAUAAGACCACGGGAUCACAUGGUUCUGGGGGUUAAAAAGAUUUUAAUCGGUUUGGGGGUGGGCUCGCGUCCGA